UGGCCAUAUCAUGUUGAAACACCAGUUCUUGUACAAUCACUGAAACUAAGCAAUAUCAAGCCUGGUCAGUACCUAGAUGGGUGACUGUUUGGGAAUACCAGGUGCU